AGAGUUUGAUCAUGGCUCAGAUUGAACGCUGGCGGUAUGCUUUACACAUGCAAGUCGAACGGCAGCACGGGGGCAACCCUGGUGGCGAGUGGCGGACGGGUGAGUAAUAUAUCGGAACAUAUCCGGAAGUGGGGGAUAGCUCGGCGAAAGCCGGAUUAAUACCGCAUAUGCCCUGAGGGGGAAAGGAGGGGAUCCGCAAGGACCUUUCGCUUUCGGAGUGGCCGAUAUCGGAUUAGCUAGUUGGUGAGGUAAAGGCUCACCAAGGCGACGAUCCGUAGCUGGUCUGAGAGGACGACCAGCCACACUGGAACUGAGACACGGUCCAGACUCCUACGGGAGGCAGCAGUGGGGAAUUUUGGACAAUGGGGGAAACCCUGAUCCAGCCAUACCGCGUGAGUGAAGAAGGCCUUCGGGUUGUAAAGCUCUUUCAGACGGAAAGAAACGGUCACGGCUAAUACCUGUGGCUAAUGACGGUACCGUAAGGAGAAGCACCGGCUAACUACGUGCCAGCAGCCGCGGUAAUACGUAGGGUGCGAGCGUUAAUCGGAAUUACUGGGCGUAAAGCGUGCGCAGGCGGUUUUGUAAGACAGAUGUGAAAUCCCCGGGCUUAACCUGGGAACUGCAUUUGUGACUGCAAGACUAGAGUACGGCAGAGGGGGGUAGAAUUCCACGUGUAGCAGUGAAAUGCGUAGAUAUGUGGAGGAAUACCGAUGGCGAAGGCAGCCCCCUGGGUCGAUACUGACGCUCAUGCACGAAAGCGUGGGGAGCAAACAGGAUUAGAUACCCUAGUAGUCC
rnacentral:rRNA from 1 species